GACAAACGCUGGCGGCGUGCCUAAUACAUGCAAGUCGAACGAACCGCGACUAGGUGCUUGCACUUGGUCAAGGUGAGUGGCGAACGGGUGAGUAACACGUGGGUAACCUACCUCAUAGUGGGGGAUAACAGUCGGAAACGACUGCUAAUACCGCAUAGGACAUAGGAUCACAUGAUCCAGUGAGGAAAGGUGGCGCAAGCUAUCGCUAAGAGAUGGACCCGCGGUGCAUUAGCUAGUUGGUAGGGUAAAGGCCUACCAAGGCGAUGAUGCAUAGCCGACCUGAGAGGGUGAUCGGCCACAUUGGGACUGAGACACGGCCCAAACUCCUACGGGAGGCAGCAGUAGGGAAUCUUCCGCAAUGGACGCAAGUCUGACGGAGCAACGCCGCGUGAGUGAAGAAGGUCUUCGGAUCGUAAAGCUCUGUUGUUAGAGAAGAACAGCGCAUAGAGUAACUGUUAUGCGUGUGACGGUAUCUAACCAGAAAGCCACGGCUAACUACGUG
rnacentral:rRNA from 1 species